rnacentral:rRNA from 1 species
GACGAACGCUGGCGGCGUGCUUAACACAUGCCAGUCGAACGGAAAGGCCCUGCUUGCAGGGUACUCGAGUGGCGAACGGGUGAGUAACACGUGGGUGAUCUGCCCUGCACUUCGGGAUAAGCCUGGGAAACUGGGUCUAAUACCGGAUAGGAGCCAUUUUUAGUGUGAUGGUUGGAAAGUUUUUUCGGUGUAGGAUGAGCUCGCGGCCUAUCAGCUUGUUGGUGGGGUAAUGGCCUACCAAGGCGGCGACGGGUAGCCGGCCUGAGAGGGUGGACGGCCACAUUGGGACUGGGAUACGGCCCAGACGCCUACGGGAGGCAGCAGUGGGGAAUAUUGCACGAUGGGCGGAAGCCUGAUGCAGCGACGCCGCGUGGGGGAUGACGGCCUUCGGGUUGGAAACUCCUUUCGCUAGGGACGAAGCGUUUUGUGACGGUACCUAGAGAAGAAGCACCGGCUAACUACGUG